rnacentral:rRNA from 1 species
GACGAACGCUGGCGGCGUGCUUAACACAUGCAAGUCGAACGGAAAGGCCCUGCUUUUGUGGGGUGCUCGAGUGGCGAACGGGUGAGUAACACGUGAGUAAACUGCCCUUGACAUUGGGAUAAAAUCAGGAAAAAGGGGCGAAAACCGGAUAGGAGCUACUGCUGCAUGGGGGGGGUUGGAAAGAGUCGGCGGUGGUGGAUGGACUCGCGGCUUAUCAGCUUGAUGGUGGGGUAGUGGAGUACCAAGGCUAUGAAGGGUAGCAGGCCUGGGAGGGUGACCGGCCACAUUGGGACUGAGAUACGGCCCAGACUCCUACGGGAGGCAGCAGUGGGGAAUAUUGCACAAUGGGCGGAAGCCUGAUGCAGCAACCCCGCGUGCGUGAUGACGGCCUUCGGGUUGUAAACCGCUUUCGCCUGUGCCGAAGCGUGCUUGACGGUACUUGGUAAAGAAGCCCCGGCUAACUACGUG